GUGCUUGCGUCAGCAGCACACUCACCAAAAUUGGAGCUGUACAGAGAUUAGCAUGGCCCCUGCGCAAAGAUGACAUGCAAAUUCAUGAAGCGUUCAAUGUUUGU